rnacentral:rRNA from 1 species
GACGAACCGUACAAACGUUAUUCGGUGUCACUGGGCUUAAAGGGUGCGUAGGCGGCGGAGAAAGUUAGGUGUGAAAUCCCUCGGCUCAACUGAGGAAUGGCGCUUAAAACUACUUCGCUCGAGGAAGAUAGAGGUGAGCGGAACUUACGGUGGAGCGGUGAAAUGCGUUGAUAUCGUAGGGAACACCAGUUGCGAAAGCGGCUCACUGGGUCUUUUCUGACGCUGAGGCACGAAAGCUAGGGUAACGAACGGG